GAUAAGGUUAAGUGAAUAAGGGCGCACGGUGGAUGCCUUGGCACUAGGAGCCGAUGAAGGACGGGACUAACACCGAUAUGCUUUGGGGAGCUGUACGUAAGCUAUGAUCCAGAGAUUUCCGAAUGGGGGAACCCAGCAUCUUUAAUAGGAUGUUACGAUUGUGUGAAUACAUAGCACAUUCGAGGUAGACGCAGAGAACUGAAACAUCUAAGUACCUGCAGGAAGAGAAAGAAAAUUCGAUUCCCUGAGUAGCGGCGAGCGAAACGGGAAAAGCCCAAACCAACAAGCUUGCUUGUUGGGGUUGUAGGACUCCAAUAUGGUCGUUCUUUCAGAUAGUCGAAUGACUUGGAAAAGUCAGUCAAAGAGGGUAAAAACCCCGUAGACGAAAUGUGGAAGACACCUAGGAGGAUCCUGAGUACGGCGGAACACGAGAAAUUCCGUCGGAAUCCGGGAGGACCAUCUCCCAAGGCUAAAUACUCCCUAGUGACCGAUAGUGAACCAGUACCGUGAGG
rnacentral:rRNA from 1 species